ensembl:misc_RNA Metazoa_SRP Metazoan signal recognition particle RNA
GCCGGGUGUGGUGGCACAUGCCUGUAGUCCCAGCUACUCAGGAGGCUGAGGUGGGAGAAUGGCUUGAGCCCAGGAGGCAGAGGUUGCAGUGAGCCAAGACUGCGCCACUGCACUCCAGCCUGGGCAAUAAAGCCAGACCUUGUCUCGA